UGGGGUUGUAGCUCAGUGGUAGAGCACUUGCCUAGCGUGUGUGAGGCACUGGGUUUGAUCCUCAGCACCACAA
rnacentral:tRNA from 1 species